AUUGCUUCUCAGCCUUUUGGCUAAGAUCAAGUGUAGUAUCUGUUCUUAUCAGUUUAAUAUCUGAUACGUCCUCUAUCCAAAGACAAUACAUUAAAUGGAUUUUUGGAGCAGGGAGAUGAAAUAGGAGCUUGCUCUGUCCACUACAAAAAAAAGAAUAUGCACUGAUAUCAAAGAUUGAGUAAGAUAA